rnacentral:rRNA from 1 species
UAGGGAAUCUUCGGCAAUGGGGGCAACCCUGACCGAGCAACGCCGCGUGAGUGAAGAAGGUUCUCGGAUCGUAAAGCUCUGUUGUAAGAGAAGAACGUGUGUGAGAGUGGAAAGUUCACACAGUGACGGUAACUUACCAGAAAGGGACGGCUAACUACGUGCCAG